AGGAUCAUUAUUGAAUAAACCUGAUGUGGCUGUUAGCUGGCUUUUCGAAGCAUGUGCUCGUCCGUCAUCUUUAUCUCUCCACCUGUGCACAUUUUGUAGUCUUGGAUACCUCUCGAGGCAACUCGGAUUUUAGGAUCGCCGUGGCUUUCCUUUCAUUUCCAAGACUAUGUUUUUAUAUACACCAAAGUAUGUUUAAAGAAUGUUAUCAAUAGGAACUUGUUUCCUAUAAAAUUAUACAACUUUCAGCAACGGAUCUCUUGGCUCUCGCAUCGAUGAAGAACGCAGCGAAAUGCGAUAAGUAAUGUGAAUUGCAGAAUUCAGUGAAUCAUCGAAUCUUUGAACGCACCUUGCGCUCCUUGGUAUUCCGAGGAGCAUGCCUGUUUGAGUGUCAUUAAAUUCUCAACCUUCCAGCUUUUUUUUUAUUAGCUUGGUUUGGCUUGGAUGUGGGUGUUGCAGGCUUCAUUAAUGAGGUCAGCUCUCCUUAAAUGCAUUAGCGGAACUUUUGUGGACCGUCUAUUGGUGUGAUAAUUAUCUACGCCGUGGAUGUGAAGCAGCUAUAUAUGAAGUUCAGCUUCUAACUGUCCAUUGACUUGGACAAUUUUGACAAUUUGAC
rnacentral:rRNA from 1 species